CAACAAAUCAACAAAAUAUACUAAUUGAAAUACGAAAUCUCUCAAUUAAUAGUGGUAUUUAAGGCGUUGAAUUUGAUUAAAAUACUGACUAAAGUAUUUUAAUUGAAAUUGCGGUUAUUCAAAGGAAAAAAAAUUAAAAACAACGGAUUGGUUGUGUAAAACAUGAAGGGUAAUAAUUUACCCUCAAUCAUGAUACAACAUGAAGCUGAAGUUAUUCAAAAUGAAAAAAAAAAUGAAAAAGACAUAAUGAUAUUCUCAUAAUAUGGGUGGUGAUAAUUUACAUUCAAUCACGAUACAACAUGGAGGAAGCUGAAAUGUCACAUGUAUAUUUGAAUCAAGAAAAGGUGAAUAGAAAUUUCUUCAUCAAGUAUCCAUUGUGUAUAACGUUGAGGGAUGUGAUUAUGGAUGUAAUAGUGUGGUGUCGAAUUCAUUGUUGAUGAAAACAGUUUACAUUCAACUAAAGGAAUUCGGGUGAUAAAGAAUCUUAUUCAAAUAAUCAAUUCGGGCCAAAGCAAUAAUCAUUCAAAUGUAGAAGAUCUACCAAUUCAACCAUUAAACAUGAUAUGGUUAGUCGUUUUUGUUUUACCACUAAGAUACACAUUGAUUUUAUUGUAUUGUAUUCAAGAGGUCUAUAAAUUAAUAUUGUAUGAAAAAGGUAUAUAAAUAGAUGUCUCAUAUAAUGUGAUUAGUUAUUUCGUAUGUAUGAAAAGGGUAUUUAAAAAUGAUACUUCAUGACGUGAUUAGUUGUUUCA